UGGAGCUCAGUGGUAGUGUGCCUGUCUAACAUGCAGGAGGCUCUGGGUUCAACCCCAGCA
rnacentral:tRNA from 1 species